rnacentral:lncRNA from 1 species
UAUCUAAAAUUGUAAAUUUAGGGUAUACCUAAUGACACCAUAUUUUUAGGAAAUCUGCAGAACAGAACGGAGUAAAACUAUUCAUUAUAUUAUGUUCCUGCUACUUUUAUAAAGAAGAUAAAGAAAAUCUUCUCACCAUAUUUUCAAAUAGGACUGGUGAAGAUGCUGAAGCAAUGCAGUAGUACUAUCUUGUGUGUAAAUCCUUGAUUUUGUGUAAUUUAUAACAUUGAAAGCAAUAUGAUAUGACUGACAAGGAUUAUGUCUUUAUAAAAAAUAUAUCACAGUAUGCAAACUACAAGUACGAGCAUUAAAUCUCAGAAAUGUUUACCACUGUUUUUUUUUAUUUUAUUCAAUGGAUUUAAUGGAUUGUAGAUGUACAUCUUCAUUACCACUUGAAAGUCAACCAGAAUCAUCUCAUUCAAGUGGUAUCACAUCAAGUAGUGCACAACAAGACACAGAAAUGUAUUUUCUUAAAAUUAGAUAAUUUCUCAAAUGAAUGCUAUGCUGGAACAACGUUGUAAACGCCAAAUCAGAUUUUGUCGACACAUUGAACAAAGCAUGUUAUAAUUGAUCAUUUUGAAAAAAGGUAUCUUUAUGAGCGUAAUAUGAUAGACUAUAGGAUGUAUAAAGUAAAGUCUCGUAAUAUCCCCACAGUCGGUGGUACAUUAUUUUGCGCAUGCAGGACGUUGUUUCAUGGAAAACCCACAUAUGAAACUAUUGGCGGUUACAACGUUGCUCCAGCAUAGCAUUCAAAUAUAGAUUUCCAUUUCAGCAUAUCAAGAACGAUCACAAUUUAGUGAAAGUGUACAUGGGAAUAACAACUACUGGAUAUUGAAAUAUUGUUUAAUAUUUAAUAUGCUAAGCUAAGUAUUAUUCAGUUAGGAUAUUAUCAUGGAUCAUGGAUGGGUGAAAUAUCACAGUUUUAACAAAAAAAAA